AGAGUUUGAUCCUGGCUCAGGAUGAACGCUAGCGGCAGGCCUAACACAUGCAAGUCGAGGGGCAGCAUAUCACUUCGGUGAUGAUGGCGACCGGCGCACGGGUGAGUAUCGCGUUUGUAACCUACCCUUAACUGGGGGAUAGCCCGGAGAAAUCCGGAUUAAUACCCCAUAGUAUUUUAGCACGGCAUCGUGCUUUUAUUAAAGCUCCGGCGGUUAAGGAUGGGCAUGCGUGACAUUAGUUUGUUGGUGAGGUAACGGCUCACCAAGACUGCGAUGUCUAUGGGGUCUGAGAGGAUGAUCCCACACACUGGUACUGAGACACGGACCAGACUCCUACGGGAGGCAGCAGUGAGGAAUAUUGGUCAAUGGACGAAAGUCUGAACCAGCCAUGCCGCGUGCAGGAUGACGGCCCUAUGGGUUGUAAACUGCUUUUUUACAGGAAGAAAUCCUUCUACGUGUAGAGGGUUGACUGUACUGUACGAAUAAGCAUCGGCUAACUCCGUGCCAGCAGCCGCGGUAAUACGGAGGAUGCAAGCGUUAUCCGGAUUCAUUGGGUUUAAAGGGUGCGUAGGCGGGGUAAUAGGUCAGUGGUGAAAUCCUGCGGCUCAACCGUAGAACUGCCAUUGAUACUG
rnacentral:rRNA from 1 species